UAACAAAAUAAAUUUUUUUCAUGGAUUGAGUUAAAGACACCAACUGAUCCAAGUUGCUAGUGACACUAAUUGGUGUGUGGAUGGAGUGAUUAGCAGCAUAGAAGUUGUCUCUGUGACUAUGGGGUGGAGUCAUUUGAGAGGGACAAAGAGCUCUCAAAUUAGAGGAUCCGUGUACUGUGCAGUUUGAAAAAGGCCUAAUAAUGUUGCCACGCUGGGAAAGGUUUCAGUUUGAGUUAGAUAAUUCAGCCAAACAGAAAGAUAUGAAAGAGUAGAGGAUAUUUUCUUGUCGUCUUGUAGGAGAUAGGGGGGACGGAGUCAAAUCUGUAAGUGCAACACAAUCGAGUAAACAGGCCCACAUAUGCAAACUCAUACAAAGGGCUUAGAGUAACCUCUACUCAUAGUAUCUCUGGUGCUUCUGCUUCAAGUAAGUUUGUUCCUACUUCAAGAAGAGUGUUCAAAGGGCUAAAGGACUAUGGAAGGAAACUUGUCAACCUAGAACUUUUCACACAAUGUCUUGUGGAUUGGGUUUCUGAGAAAUCAUGUGCAGAUUAUGUGGAUGGCUUUUGGAAUUGCAAAAAAGUAACGUCUUUGGCUUGUCUUGGUUUUGAUAGUUGUUUUUUCAUUCAUUCAUGGAACUGGGUUUGAAAUUAUGGUAAAAUUUUAAUUUUUUUUUUUUUUUUGGAUUUAUCUAUGUGGGUCUAUAACUUCUACUAAGGCUGGGAGUGCAAUGUUAUUUAGUUUUCAAUUUUUUGAGUUAUAUGUGAGGUCUGGUAAACUGAGUGCGAUUUAGAUUUGCUAAGAAAUUGUUUGAUGAAAUGUCUGUGUGAGUUGUAUAUUUUAAUGUAUAAGUUUUUUGUCUGAGAUUUUGAGCAACUAAAAUGUUAUUGUGACUGAAACCUAACUCCCUAUUAAUCUAGUGAAAUGGUUGGAUUGGGUAUAGUAGGGAUUGAUGGGUUCAAUUUAUUUGAGUAAAUGUGAUAUGAGUAUCUAAUAUAAAUAUUGUCAUUGACAUUGGUUCCAGAUUGUGAAUGACUUUCAGUUUUAGAAUGCUAAUGUUUAGAUGUCAUAAUGUAGGAAAAUUUUGGGUAUAAUGUAAAAGUAGAAUCUUUAUCUUUAAUCUAAUUUUUACUCUUUCCAAUUAUUUGUUAUUUGUUAUUCUUUCCCUUUUGUUAUUUGUAAGUAAACUAAAGGAUCAACUUGGCUUUGUGAUAUUUUAUGUCUACUACCGUUUCUAGUACUAUUAUCUAGUGAGGGAUUGGGGUCUGGUGAUGGUGAUGGUGAUGGUGAUGGUGAUGGGUAAAAUGACUUAAACAUUGCAGUCAAGUUUUUCCGGAACCAUCAUUUUAUUCUGCUAAGCAAUCACGUUGCUAGCUAGUUUUAUUUUAUGUGUGAGUAGUUAUGGAAAUGUGCUUUUAGAGCAAUCAAGUUUUACAGCUAAGCCUUGCCUAUCACUGGUCCGAACAGUUCAAAAGCUAAUGCAUGGAGUUGUAAUGACAAAUCCUCAGUAUAUUUGAUAUUACUUAUAUAGCAAAUAUGAGGGUCUUUUUGCGAUGGUCUGCUUUUAAUUAAUCUUUGUUGGGUUCUGAAUGUUUAGAUAGAUAGAUAUAUAGAUAUUUAUCUGCUGCUAGUGAAAUUGGCCAUUUGUAUUUGUACAUGAAAUUCUCCUUGUAUCAUUUCCAAGCAAUUUAGCAAUAAAAGAUAAUGAAAUUCUUAUU